rnacentral:rRNA from 2 species
GAACCAGCAACUUGCAGGAACGAGAGUUAAUAUAAAUGAGUUAUUAACUUGCUUGACUAGGUCUUAUAAAGUUCUGGAAAAAGCUGAUAAUGACAACUUUAAAUCCAGAGGUCUCGACUAAAUCUUGUGCCAGCAGUCGCGGUAAGACAAGGGAGACAAGUGUUAUUCAUCUUAAACAGGUAUAUUGGGUACCUAGACGGUGUAGAAAGGCUGAGAUAAGUACCUAUUACACUUGAGUUUGAUAUGUGAGAGGAAGAUGUCAGAAUUGUUGGUGUAUAGGGAUAAAAUCCAUUGAUACUAAUAGGACUGAUAAUGGCGAAGGCAAACCUCUAUGUACAUGCACUUACUUAAAAAAAUUAGAACAAAUAUAUGAAAGACACAUUUAUCUUUACACAUUUAUCUUUAGUAUAGAUGAAAAAAAAUAACAAAGAAAAUUGUAAGAUAAAUUUGUGAUUCAAUAAAUUGAUAACAAAAAUUAAUAAGUAAAGUGCUAUAACUGACGUUGAAGGACGAAGGCUUAGAGAGUGAAGAGGAUUAGAUACCCCCGUAGCCUAGGCAGACAAUGAUGAGUGCCAUAGGUUGGCUUAUGGCUGAACUAUAAAUGAAAGUGGAAGCACUCCACCUCAAGAGUAAUGUGGCAACGCAGGAACUGAAAUCAUUAGACCGUUUCUGAAACCAGUAGUGAAGUAUGUUAUUUAAUUCGAUGAUCCGCGAAUAACCUUACCACAAUUUGAAUGCUCUAAAUUAUUAUAUAGUUAAUAGAUGGUUAAGAUAUGUAUUUAGGUGAUAGGAUAAAUAACCAAUAUACAAUAACCAUAUCUUUUUAUUAUAUUGUUUAGACCACAUGCGUUGCAUGGCUGUCUUCAGUUAAUGUCGUGAGAUUUGGUUAGGUCCAUUAAAUUAACGUAAACCCUUGUUUUAUUUUAUUAAAUAAGGCAGCUCACCGCUCACAAUUGGAUUAUAAUAGGGACUAAGACAAGUCAUCAUGGCCUUAAUAUUGUGGGCUAUAGACG